UGGUAUGGAGCUCAGUUGGUAGGGUGCUUGCUUAGUGUACAUGAGGUUCUGGGUAUAAACCCCAGCAUUCCAC
rnacentral:tRNA from 1 species